AUUGAACGCUGGCGGCGUGCUUAACACAUGCAAGUCGAGCGGUAACAGGUGUAGCAAUACAUGCUGACGAGCGGCGAACGGGUGAGUAAUGCUUCGGAAUCUUCCUCGUAGUGGGGAAUAACCUGGGGAAACUCAGGCUAAUACCGCAUACGAACUACGGUUGAAAGCAGGGGAUCGCAAGACCUUGCGCUAUGAGAUGAGCCGAAGUCGGAUUAGCUAGUUGGUGGGGUAACGGCCGACCAAGGCGACGAUCCGUAGAUGGUCUGAGCGGACGAGCAGCCGCACUGGGACUGAGACACGGCCCAGACUCCUACGGGAGGAAGCAGUGCGGAAUAUUGGACAAUGGGGGCAACCCUGAUCCAGCGACGCCGCGUGUGUGAAGAAGGCCUGCGGGUUGUAAAGCACUUUUAGUGGGGAUGAAAAGCCGAGGGCUAAUACCUUUCGGUCUUGACCUAACCCAAAGAAAAAGCACCGGCUAACUCUGUGCCAGCCGCCGCCGUAACAC
rnacentral:rRNA from 1 species